GGCUCAAUGGUCUAGUGGUAUGAUUCGCCCUUCGGGUGCUUGUGCAACAUCACAACCCUUCCGCACAGCGGGAAUGGGCGAGGUCUCGGGUUCGAUCCCCGAUUGAGCCC